rnacentral:rRNA from 1 species
CGCUAUCACUCCUACGGAAGGCAGCAGUGGGGAAUAUUGCACAAUGGGGGAAACCCUGAUGCAGCCAUGCCGCGUGUGUGAAGAAGGCCUUCGGGUUGUAAAGCACUUUCAGUAGGGAGGAAGGUAGUGUAGUUAACACCUGCAUUAUUUGACGUUACCUACAGAAGAAGCACCGGCUAACUCCGUGCCAGCAGCCGCGGUAAUACGGAGGGUGCGAGCGUUAAUCGGAAUUACUGGGCGUAAAGCGCAUGCAGGCGGCCUGUUAAGUCAGAUGUGAAAGCCCGGGGCUUAACCUCGGAAUUGCAUUUGAAACUGGCAGGCUAGAGUCUUGUAGAGGGGGUAGAAUUUCAGGUGUAGCGGUGAAAUGCGUAGAGAUCUGAAGGAAUACCAGUGGCGAAGGCGGCCCCCUGGACAAAGACUGACGCUCAGAUGCGAAAGCGUGGGGAGCAAACAGGAUUAGAUACCCUGGUAG